rnacentral:lncRNA from 1 species
AUUUUUUUAAUGCAUUUUUAAAUUAAUUUGCAUUCUCAACUUUGAUGACAUUAUUUAUGACUGUACCACGGAAAAAAAAAAAAACUUUUUCGCAGUUGUUUGUAAAAGUGCUGUGUAGUAUUUUUGUUCGUGGUCAACAAUGAAAUUUAUGUGGGAACUGCAAACCCCUUUUCUCCCCCACCGUUAAACCUUCAAUAGUAGAAAAAGAGUGUCUCUUUGGGAAAAACCGCCUUAUUUACCAAAAUCCGACCCAUUUCCGUUCUUUUUCAAAAACACUUCUAUUGAAAUUGGCGAGAAAACAAUUUUCUCAUUCUAUGAAGAGUCAACAACAAUCGAGAAAAGGAAAAAAUAUAUAUAUAUAUCUCAAGAAAAUUUUCCAUCGGAAAUCGUUUCAGGGGUUACAAUACACAAUACAACUUACCGCACCAGACACGGUGACCCGGUUAUCCUUCGACCUUGUGACCUUAGGACUGGCUGACCCUUGCCGGAGUGGCGAAAGGCCAAAUUAUCUGGAACCCAUACAAGAGCGUGUGAACCGAACUUGGUAAGGAUUGCAUCCUUCGCAUAAACAGAUUUUCUGUAUAGGUUGGUAGAAAUUUAUCGAUUAUUCUUAAUUCUAUCACUGUUGAUUCAUAUACUGGCAAAAUUAAUUAAGAAAUUUCGAUUAUUUACACCCGCUUUCAAUAACUGAUUGAUUGAUCUCUUCAAUUAACUCUUUGUUCGGAUCGAGUUUAUUUUUAGCAUUCUAUUUCCAGGAUGAUUUUCUUUUUCUUAAUUUGUUUUCUACCUUCUCG